GCACUGACCGCUAUCGGAUUGAUACUAAGCCAUGCGAGUCAUUGUAGUAAUACAAGGCAGACGGCUCAGUAACGCGUAGUCAACCUAACCUAUGGACGGGAAUAACCUCGGGAAACUGAGUAUAAUGCCCGAUAGAACAUUAUGCCUGGAAUGGUUUAUGUUCCAAAUGAUUUAUCGCCGUAGGAUGGGACUGCGGCCUAUCAGUUUGUUGGUGAGGUAAUGGCCCACCAAGACUAUUACAGGUACGGGCUCUGAGAGGAGUAGCCCGGAGAUGGGUACUGAGACACGGACCCAGGCCCUAUGGGGCGCAGCAGGCGAGAAAACUUUGCAAUGUGCGAAAGCACGGCAAGGUUAAUCCGAGUGGUUUCUGCUAAAGGAACCUUUUGUCGGUCCUAGAAACACCGAUGAAUAAGGGGUGGGCAAGUUCUGGUGUCAGCCGCCGCGGUAAAACCAGCACCUCAAGUGGUCAGGAUGAUUAUUGGGCCUAAAGCAUCCGUAGCCGGCUCUAUAAGUUUUCGGUUAAAUCUGUACGCUCAACGUACAGGCUGCCGGGAAUACUGCAGAGCUAGGGAGUGGGAGAGGUAGACGGUACUCGGUAGGAAGGGGUAAAAUCCUUUGAUCUAUUGAUGACCACCUGUGGCGAAGGCGGUCUAUCAGAACACGUCCGACGGUGAGGGAUGAAAGCUGGGGGAAGCAAACCGGAUUAGAUACCCGGGUAGUCCCAGCUGUAAACUAUGCAAACUCAGUGAUGCAUUGGCUUGUGGGCUAAUGCAGUGCUGCAGGGAAGCCGUU
rnacentral:rRNA from 1 species